rnacentral:piRNA from 1 species
UUGAAUAGAGAUACAGCAGCAACAAGCAGAG